CGUGUAGGCGGCUCAUCAAGUCUGGUGUGAAAACGCAAGGCUCAACCUUGCAUAGGCGCUGGAAACUGGUGGGCUUGAGUUCCUGAGGGGAAGCUGGAAUUCCAGGUGUAGGGGUGAAAUCUGUAGAUAUCUGGAAGAACACCGGUGGCGAAGGCGAGCUUCUAUCAGAGGACUGACGCUGAGGCGCGAAAGCGUGGGGAGCAAACAGGAUUAGAUACCCUGGUAGUCCACGCUGUAAACGAUGUGCACUAGGCGUGGGGCCCGUACGGGUUCUGUGCCGUAGUUAACGUGUUAAGUGCACCGCCUGGGGAGUAUGCUCGCAAGGGUGAA
rnacentral:rRNA from 1 species